rnacentral:rRNA from 1 species
UACGUAGGGUGCGAGCGUUGUCCGGAAUUAUUGGGCGUAAAGGGCUCGUAGGUGGUUUGUCGCGUUGUCCGUGAAAACUCACAGCUCAACUGUGGGCGUGCGGGCGAUACGGGCAGACUGGAGUACUGCAGGGGAGACUGGAAUUCCUGGUGUAGCGGUGGAAUGCGCAGAUAUCAGGAGGAACACCAAUUGCGAAAGGCAGCUCGCUGGGACGUAACUGACGCUGAGACGCGAAAGCGUGGGGAGCAAACAGG